rnacentral:rRNA from 1 species
UACGCUGGCGGCAUGCCUUCCAUGCAAGUCGAACGGCAGCACGGGAGCGAUCCUGGUGGCGAGUGGCGAACGGGUGAGUAAUGUAUCGGAACGUACCUUUCAGUGGGGGAUAACGUAGCGAAAGUUACGCUAAUACCGCAUAUUCUGUGAGCAGGAAAGCAGGGGAUCGCAAGACCUUGCGCUGAUUGAGCGGCCGAUAUCAGAUUAGCUAGUUGGUGAGGUAAAGGCUCACCAAGGCGACGAUCUGUAGCGGGUCUGAGAGGAUGAUCCGCCACACUGGAACUGAGACACGGUCCAGACUCCUACGGGAGGCAGCAGUGGGGAAUUUUGGACAAUGGGGGCAACCCUGAUCCAGCCAUGCCGCGUGAGUGAAGAAGGCCUUCGGGUUGUAAAGCUCUUUCAGCCGGGAAGAAAUCACAUGGGUUAAUACCCUGUGUGGAUGACGGUACCGGAAUAAGAAGCACCGGCUAACUACGUGCCAGCAGCCGCGGUAAUACGUAGGGUGCGAGCGUUAAUCGGAAUUACUGGGCGUAAAGCGUGCGCAGGCGGUUUGUUAAGAUAGGCGUGAAAUCCCGGGCUCAACCUGGGAACUGCGUUUAUGACUGGCAGGCUAGAGUAUGGCAGAGGGGGGUGGAAUUCCACGUGUAGCAGUGAAAUGCGUAGAGAUGUGGAGGAACACCGAUGGCGAAGGCAGCCCCCUGGGCCAAUACUGACGCUCAUGCACGAAAGCGUGGGUAGCAAACAGGAUUAGAUACCCUGGUAGUCCACGCCCUAAACGAUGUCAACUAGGUGUUGGGUGGGUAAAACCAUUUAGUACCGGAGCUAACGCGUGAAGUUGACCGCCUGGGGAGUACGGCCGCAAGGUUAAAACUCAAAGGAAUUGACGGGGACCCGCACAAGCGGUGGAUGAUGUGGAUUAAUUCGAUGCAACGCGAAAAACCUUACCUACCCUUGACAUGUCCAGAAGCUCUUAGAGAUUUGAGUGUGCCCGAAAGGGAACUGGAACACAGGUGCUGCAUGGCUGUCGUCAGCUCGUGUCGUGAGAUGUUGGGUUAAGUCCCGCAACGAGCGCAACCCUUGUCGUUAAUUGCCAUCAUUUAGUUGGGCACUUUAACGAGACUGCCGGUGACAAACCGGAGGAAGGUGGGGAUGACGUCAAGUCCUCAUGGCCCUUAUGGGUAGGGCUUCACACGUCAUACAAUGGUCGGUACAAAGGGUUGCCAACCCGCGAGGGGGAGCUAAUCCCAGAAAGCCGAUCGUAGUCCGGAUCGUAGGCUGCAACUCGCCUGCGUGAAGUCGGAAUCGCUAGUAAUCGUGGAUCAGCAUGUCACGGUGAAUACGUUCCCGGGUCUUGUACACACCGCCCGUCACACCAUGGGAGCGGGUUCCGCCAGAAGUAGGUAGCCUAACCGCAAGGAGGGCGCUUACCACGGCGGGGUUGNACGGGG